rnacentral:tRNA from 1 species
AGCGAGUUGGAGAAGAUGGUUACCUCGAGAGUUUCAUAAGCUCUAGACCUCGGUUCAAAUCCGAGACUCGCUA